GUGGGGAAUAUUGGACAAUGGGUGCAAGCCUGAUCCAGCAAUGCCGCGUGCAGGAAGAAGGCCUUCGGGUUGUAAACUGCUUUUGUACGGAACGAAACGGUCCUGGUUAAUACCCGGGGCUAAUGACGGUACCGUAAGAAUAAGCACCGGCUAACUACGUGCCAGCAGCCGCGGUAAUACGUAGGGUGCAAGCGUUAAUCGGAAUUACUGGGCGUAAAGCGUGCGCAGGCGGUGCUGUAAGACAGGCGUGAAAUCCCCGGGCUUAACCUGGGAAUUGCGCUUGUGACUGCAGUGCUGGAGUGCGGCAGAGGGGGAUGGAAUUCCGCGUGUAGCAGUGAAAUGCGUAGAUAUGCGGAGGAACACCGAUGGCGAAGGCAAUCCCCUGGGCCUGCACUGACGCUCAUGCACGAAAGCGUGGGGAGCAAACAGGAUUAGAUACCCUGGUAGUCC
rnacentral:rRNA from 1 species